UACGUAGGCAGCGAGCGUUGUUCGGAGUUACUGGGCGUAAAGCGUGCGUAGGCGAUGUCUUAAGUUUGUUGUGAAAUCUCCCGGCUUAACCGGGAGGGUGCGGCGAAUACUGAGAUGCUGGAGUGCCGGAGAGGUAAGCGGAAUUCCUGGUGUAGCGGUGAAAUGCGUAGAUAUCAGGAGGAACACCUGCGGUGUAGACGGCUUACUGGACGGUAACUGACGCUGAGGCACGAAAGCGUGGGUAGCAAACAGG
rnacentral:rRNA from 1 species